GAUGAACGCUGGCGGCGUGCCUAAUACAUGCAAGUCGAACGCAUUGUGGUUGAAAUGAUAUGAAGAACUUGUUCAGAUUUGAUUUUCAACAUUGCAAUGAGUGGCGAACGGGUGAGUAACACGUGGGAAACCUACCUCUUAGCAGGGGAUAACAUUUGGAAACAAAUGCUAAUACCGUAUAAUAAUUAAAACCGCAUGGUUUUAGUUUAAAAGAUGGUCUUGCUAUCACUAAGAGAUGGUCCCGCGGUGUAUUAGUUAGUUGGUGAGGUAAUGGCUCACCAAGACAAUGAUACAUAGCCGAGUUGAGAGACUGACCGGCCACAAUGGGACUGAGACACGGCCCAUACUCCUACGGGAGGCAGCAGUAGGGAAUCUUCCACAAUGGACGAAAGUACUGAUGGAGCAACGCCGCGUGUGUGAUGAAGGGUUUCGGCUCGUAAAACACUAGUUGUAAGAGAAGAAUGACAUUGAGAGUAACUGUUCAAUGUGUGACGGUAU
rnacentral:rRNA from 1 species